GACGAACGCUGGCGGCGUGCUUAACACAUGCAAGUCGAACGGAAAGGCCUCUUUCGGGGGGUACUCGAGUGGCGAACGGGUGAGUAACACGUGAGUAACCUGCCCUUGACUUUGGGAUAACUUCCUGAAACUGGGGCUAAUACCGGAUAGGAGCUCCUGCUGCCUGGUGGGGGUUGGAAAGUUUCGGCGGUUGGGGAUGGACUCGCGGCUUAUCCGCUUGUUGGUGGGGUAGUGGCUUACCAAGGCUUUGACGGGUAGCCGGCCUGAGAGGGUGACCGGCGACAUUGGGACUGAGAUACGGCCCAGACUCCUACGGGAGGCGGCAGUGGGGAAGAUUGCACAAUGGGUGGAGGCUUGAUGCAGCAGGGCUGUGGGCGGGAUGACGGCCUUCGGGUUGUAAACCGCAUGCGCUCAUGACGAAGCUUUGUGUGACGGUAGUGGGUAAAGAAGCACCGGCUAACUACGUG
rnacentral:rRNA from 1 species